rnacentral:rRNA from 1 species
AUUUUGGUCACUGGGGGAAACCCUGAUCCACCCAUCCCGCGUGUAUGAUGAAGGUCUUUGGGUUGCAAAGUACUUAUGGCAGAGAAGAAAAGGUAUCUCCUAAUACGAGAUACUGCUGACGGUAUCUGCAGCAUAAGCACCGGCUAACUAAGUGCAAGCAGCCGCGGUAAUACGUAGGGCGCAAGCGUUAAUCGGAAUUACUUGGCGUAAAGCGUGUGUAGGCGGUUCGGAAAUAAAGAUGUGAAAUCCCAGGGCUCAACCUUGGAACUGCAUUUUUAACUGCCGAGCUAGAGUAUGUCAGGAGGGGGUAAAAUUCCACGUGUAGCAGUGAAAUGCGUAGAUAUGUGGAGGAAUACCGAUGGCGAAGGCAGCCCCCUGGGAUAAUACUGACGCUCAGACACGAAAGCGUGGGGAGCAAAC